AAAAAGUUUAAUAAAUAAAUAAAUAAAAACAUUGGACAUUAUAAAACAAAUAUUGGAAAAUGUAAACGAUGGAUUGCUCAUUUUCUUCUCAGGUAUGGGAUUAUCUAGUAAAAGGGAUCUUGCGUAGUGCUCAUACACAUGACUGGAACACCGUAGUACUCUUGAUUACAGAUCAGACCAUGGAAAAAAAGAAGCUUUUCU
rnacentral:lncRNA from 1 species